rnacentral:rRNA from 1 species
AACGAACGUUGGCGGCAUGGAUCAGGCAUGCAAGUCGAACGAAUCCCAGGGGGGUAACUCUCUGGGGGAAGUGGCGAAAGGGGCAGUAAGGCGUGGGUAACCUGCCCCGGACUUCGGGAUAGCCUUCCUAACGGAUGGGUAAUACCGAAUGUCGUAGCGUGGGGGCAUCCCCGUGCUACGAAAGCUCCGGCGGUCCGGGAGGGGCUCACGUGGUAUUAGCUAGUUGGUGAGGUGACGGCUCACCAAGGCCAAGAUGCCUAGCAGGUGUGAGAGCACGACCUGCGCCACUGGCACUGUGACACUGGCCAGACUCCUACGGGAGGCUGCAGUCGAGGAUCUUCGGCAAUGGGCGAAAGCCUGACCGAGCGAUGCCGCGUGUGCGAUGAAGGCCU